UGACGCUGGCGGCAUGCCCUACACGAGUACAGUCGAACGGUAACAGGCCUUCGGAUGCUGACGAGUGGCGAACGGGUGAGUAAUACAUCGGAACGUGCCCGAGAGUGGGGGAUAACGAAGCGAAAGCUUUGCUAAUACCGCAUACGAUCUCAGGAUGAAAGCAGGGGACCGCAAGGCCUUGCGCUCACGGAGCGGCCGAUGGCAGAUUAGGUAGUUGGUGGGAUAAAAGCUUACCAAGCCGACGAUCUGUAGCUGGUCUGAGAGGACGACCAGCCACACUGGGACUGAGACACGGCCCAGACUCCUACGGGAGGCAGCAGUGGGGAAUUCUUGGACAAUGGGCGCAAGCCUGAUCCAGCCAUGCCGCGUGCAGGAUGAAGGCCUUCGGGUUGUAAACUGCUUUUGUACGGAACGAAAAGACUCUGGUUAAUACCUGGGGUCCAUGACGGUACCGUAAGAAUAAGCACCGGCUAACUACGUGCCAGCAGCCGCGGUAAUACGUAGGGUGCG
rnacentral:rRNA from 1 species